GCCGGGUGUGGUGGCGCUCGCCUGUAAUCCCUACUGCUCAGGAGGCUGAGUCAGGAGGAUCAAGAGUUCAAAACCAGCCUCAGCAACAGCAAGGCCCUAAGCAAUUCAGUGAGACCCUGUCUCUA
rnacentral:sRNA from 1 species